GAUGAACGCUGGCGGCGUGCCUAAUACAUGCAAGUCGAGCAAACGGACGAGAAGCUUGCUUCUCUGAUGUUAGCGGCGGACGGGUGAGUAACACGUGGAUAACCUACCUAUAAGACUGGGAUAACUUCGGGAAACCGGAGCUAAUACCGGAUAAUAUUUUGAACCGCAUGGUUCAAAAGUGAAAGACGGCUUUGCUGUCACUUAUAGAUGGAUCCGCGCUGCAUUAGCUAGUUGGUAAGGUAACGGCUUACCAAGGCAACGAUGCAUAGCCGACCUGAGAGGGUGAUCGGCCACACUGGAACUGAGACACGGUCCAGACUCCUACGGGAGGCAGCAGUAGGGAAUCUUCCGCAAUGGGCGAAAGCCUGACGGAGCAACGCCGCGUGAGUGAUGAAGGUCUUCGGAUCGUAAAACUCUGUUAUUAGGGAAGAACAUAUGUGUAAGUAACUGUGCACAUCUUGACGGUACCUAAUCAGAAAGCCACGGCUAACUACGUG
rnacentral:rRNA from 1 species